rnacentral:rRNA from 1 species
AGACCCGAAACCCGGUGAUCUAGCCAUGGGCAGGUUGAAGGUUGGGUAACACUAACUGGAGGACCGAACCGACUAAUGUUGAAAAAUUAGCGGAUGACCUGUGGCUGGGGGUGAAAGGCCAAUCAAACCGGGAGAUAGCUGGUUCUCCCCGAAAGCUAUUUAGGUAGCGCCUCGUGAAUUCAUCUCCGGGGGUAGAGCACUGUUUCGGCUAGGGGGCCAUCCCGGCUUACCAACCCGAUGCAAACUGCGAAUACCGGAGAAUGUUAUCACGGGAGACACACGGCGGGUGCUAACGUCCGUCGUGAAGAGGGAAACAACCCAGACCGCCAGCUAAGGUCCCAAAGUCAUGGUUAAGUGGGAAACGAUGUGGGAAGGCCCAGACAGCCAGGAUGUUGGCUUAGAAGCAGCCAUCAUUUAAAGAAAGCGUAAUAGCUCACUGGUCGAGUCGGCCUGCGCGGAAGAUGUAACGGGGCUAAACCAUGCACCGAAGCUGCGGCAGCGACGCUUAUGCGUUGUUGGGUAGGGGAGCGUUCUGUAAGCCUGUGAAGGUGGCCUGUGAGGGUUGCUGGAGGUAUCAGAAGUGCGAAUGCUGACAUAAGUAACGAUAAAGCGGGUGAAAAGCCCGCUCGCCGGAAGACCAAGGGUUCCUGUCCAACGUUAAUCGGGGCAGGGUGAGUCGACCCCUAAGGCGAGGCCGAAAGGCGUAGUCGAUGGGAAACAGGUUAAUAUUCC